ACAAAGGGGCUGAAGGGAGAAGAGAGACACCUCUGGUGGGCCCUUUGGUCUGGGACUUAGUGCCCAACUGAUCAGUCCACCCUUGAUCCCUUCACAGUCUGCAAACUUUCACGUUAGACACAGUGUGUCUCUCUUCUCCCUUCAGCCCCUUUGUGG
rnacentral:miRNA from 1 species